GGUGUCAUUCCAAAACUGGCAAUGCUCUUGAAAAAUGAGGCUGAGGGAUCUAAGGUCAUUAGAAAUGAAGCGACAAACGCGUUGCUGGAACUUGCGAAAGAUGAGUACAGCAAGAUUCUUAUCAUGGAGGAAGGUCUUCUUCUGGUCCCUUUAGUUGGUGCAGCUUCCUACAAGUCCUUCAAACCACCUCUGUAUUCAUGGCCUUCUUUUCCUGAUGGCACCAAAAUUGAAAAAACCCCAAAACCUUCAAGAUUUGGUGCCUCUGAAUUACUUCUUGGAUUAAAUAUUGAGGAUAAUAAUGUAAACAUUGAGGAAGGAAAGAAGAAUGCAAUGAUAGGACGCACUCGACAACAAUUUCUUGCACGUAUCGGGGCAAUUGAAACUGAAGAAGAGAACAAAUCCAUGGGUGGACUUCCUUCGAAUCCAAGGUUUACUCUUUUGCCGUGGAUUGAUGGUGUGGCUCGGUUGGUAUUAAUUCUUGGACUUGAAGAUGAGUCAGCUAUUGCUAGAGCUGCUGAUGCCAUUGCAGAUGCUUCUAUUAAUGAACAUAUGCGAGUUUCAUUUAAAGAAGCAGGUGCUAUAAACUCUCUUGUAAAGCUAAUUAACCAUCCUAGUGACACUGUUAAAUUAGCUGUUCUUCGGGCUAUAAAGAGGCUGUCUAUCAGUGAUGACGUAUGCCAAAGGUUGGAAGAACAAAAUGCUUUGUAUUCUUUGGUUGACUUGCUCAGUAACUCAGAGAUCUCUAAGAGCUUGACAAGAAUGGUAUUGGACAUUCUUACUCGGAUCCUAGAUCCUAGCAAAGAAAUGAAAUCAAAGUUUUAUGAUGGACCAGUUAAUGGGUCAAUAAAGGCAAGGAGUGCAGCAAGUAAUGCCGGGUUGACUGGAAAUGAAAAUCUGAAAGUUGCAUCAACUACCAGUUUGGAAACUGUCAAUGUGGUGGAUCUCUUAGAUUCAACUGUUUUAUCUCGCCUAGUUGAUAUCAUGAGGACAUCGUCUCCGGAUUUGCAGAGGAAAGCUGCUUCUAUCCUUGAGUUCGCUUCAGUUAUUGAGCCGUGCAUGGAAAAGAUCCUGUCCAUUGACCUAGAAACUGGUCUAGAUGCUGUUCUCCAGCAGAAAACUUUAAAUGAUACAGAAUCUGAAAUAGAUAUGCAGAACCCGGAACUAUAUGCCCUUGAGGUAGAAGACGCAGGUUAUGCAAUAUCUGCAGCAUCUCGAUUACUUGCAAGACUGCUGGACUUUGAGCAAUUCUGUCAUAUAGUAAAUGCAUCUCAUUUCACAAAAUUACUGCGGAAGGUUCUGAAAUCUGACAUCCCUCUAUACCACAAAGACUGGGUUGCUGCCUGCCUUGUAAAGCUGAGCUAUCUCUCUGGUCCAAAUUUUGACUAUAAUAAUCCAAUCAACUUAGAAGUAACUCUUUACGAGACAAUCCCAAGGCUGAUAGAACAGAUGAAGACCUCAUAUUCACGGGAAGUAGAAGAGGCUUCUGUUGUAGAACUGAACAGAAUAACCUCUGAAGAGGUGGUGAAUUCCACAAGAGCCGUGGCCGCAGAGGGAGGGAUAUUUCCGUUAGUGAAGGUGCUUGAAAAUGGGAGCGAGCGAGCUGUUGAAGCAGCUCUAGCAAUACUAUAUAAUUUGAGUAUGGAGAGUGAGAAUCAUGCUGCAAUUAUAGCUGCAGGAGCUGUGCCAAUUUUGAGAAGACUUGUAUUAGCUCAAGGGUCACAUUGGAUGCGAGCUCUGAGAUUGCUUAGGACAUUACCUACAUAACCAACUGAGCUAUAUUAUGCUUUUACCAGUUGUAAAAUAAAACGAUAUAUGAAAUCCCGUAUUGUUAGUCUUCAACCUACUUUUUCUUUUAAGCCAAAAACAAGUAUAAUUAAUAUACAGAGAUAAAUGUACAUUGGUCCUGGGGACUUUAUAAUUUCGUUCCAACUGCACAACUAGU
rnacentral:misc_RNA from 1 species